UACGGGGGGGGCAAGCGUUGUUCGGAAUUACUGGGCGUAAAGGGCUCGUAGGCGGCCAACUAAGUCGGAUGUGAAAUCCCCAGGCUCAACCUGGGAACUGCAUCCGAUACUGGAUGGCUUGAAUCCGGGAGAGGGAUGCAGAAUUCCAGGUGUAGCGGUGAAAUGCGUAGAUAUCUGGAGGAAUACCGGUGGCGAAGGCGGCAUCCUGGACCGGCAUUGACGCUGAGACACGAAAGCCAGGGGAGCAAACGGG
rnacentral:rRNA from 1 species